UCUUGGUCAUUUAGAGGAAGUAAAAGUCGUAACAAGGUUUCCGUAGGUGAACCUGCGGAAGGAUCAUUACAGAGUUCAUGCCCUUCGGGGUAGACCUCCCACCCUUGAAUAUAUACCUUUGUUGCUUUGGCGGGCCGCUUCGGCUACUGGCUUCGGCUGGUGAGUGCCCGCCAGAGGACCCAAAAUUCUGAAUUAUAGUGUCGUCUGAGUACUAUAUAAUAGUUAAAACUUUCAACAACGGAUCUCUUGGUUCUGGCAUCGAUGAAGAACGCAGCGAAAUGCGAUAAGUAAUGUGAAUUGCAGAAUUCAGUGAAUCAUCGAAUCUUUGAACGCACAUUGCGCCCCUUGGUAUUCCGGGGGGCAUGCCUGUUCGAGCGUCAUUAUAACCCCUCAAGCUCAGCUUGGUGUUGGGGCCUGCCAUCUGGCAGCCCUUAAAAUCAGUGGCGGUGCCAUCUGGCUCUAAGCGUAGUAAUUUUUCCUCGCUACAGAGUUCUGAUGGAUGCUUGCCAUCAACCCCCAAUUUUUUAUGGUUGACCUCGGAUCAGGUAGGGAUACCCGCUGAACUUAAGCAUAUCAAUANNNCGGAGGAA
rnacentral:rRNA from 1 species